AAAGGCGCUGUGGGGUUGGAAUAUAAAUGCAGGAAGGGAGAGCUGCUGUGCAAGCCCUGUCUUUUGGAAACUCAGAACGAAUUAGUCAAACUACACUUCUGUGUGAUUACAUCUCUGGCAGCGCUGCCUCUGGAACUUACCCACUUGCUCAAGCGUGGCUGAUGCUGUAUAUUCAUGGAUGGGAAAGGACACCUUGACUCUCUUCAAACAUGACCACGUUGGAAAAAGGAGAACAACAACAACAACAAAAAUGUUUGCCGGACAGCAGGUCCAGAUGUAAGGAUUCUCAGCUCCUUCUCCAGCACCAUGUCUGCC